CCCUUAGAUGUUCUGGGCCGCACGCGCGCUACACUGACGGAUUCAACGAGCUUACAACCUUGGCCGAAAGGUCUGGGCAAUCUCCAAAAUCCGUCGUGAUGGGGAUAGAUUAUUGCAAUUAUUAAUCUUCAACGAGGAAUGCCUAGUAAGCGCAAGUCAUCAGCUUGCGUUGAUUACGUCCCUGCCCUUUGUACACACCGCCCGUCGCUCCUACCGAUUGAAUGGUCCGGUGAAGCGUUUGGACUAUGGUUUUCUGAUGGCCCGCCGUUGGAUUACCGUGGGAAGUUCGUUAAACCUUAUCAUUUAGAGGAAGGAGAAGUCGUAACA
rnacentral:rRNA from 1 species